rnacentral:rRNA from 1 species
UGGGGAAUUUUCCGCAAUGGGCGAAAGCCUGACGGAGCAAUACCGCGUGAGGGAGGAAGGCUCUUGGGUUGUAAACCUCUUUUCUCAGGGAAGAAUCCUGACGGUACCUGAGGAAUCAGCAUCGGCUAACUCCGUGCCAGCAGCCGCGGUAAUACGGAGGAUGCAAGCGUUAUCCGGAAUGAUUGGGCGUAAAGCGUCCGCAGGUGGCUCAUCAAGUCUGCGGUGAAAGACCGGGGCUUAACCCCGGAGGAGCCGUGGAAACUGAGGAGCUAGAGUGCGGUAGGGGUAGAGGGAAUUCCCAGUGUAGCGGUGAAAUGCGUAGAGAUUGGGAAGAACACCAGUGGCGAAAGCGCUCUACUAGGCCGCAACUGACACUCAGGGACGAAAGCUAGGGGAGCGAAAGGGAUUAGAUACCCCCGUAGUCC